rnacentral:rRNA from 1 species
UGACCUCAAAUCAGGUAGGACUACCCGCUGAACUUAAGCAUAUCAAUAAGCGGAGGAAAAGAAACUAACAAGGAUUCCCCUAGUAACUGCGAGUGAAGCGGGAAAAGCUCAAAUUUAAAAUCUGGCAGUCUUUGGCUGUCCGAGUUGUAAUCUAGAGAAGUGCUAUCCGCGCUGGACCGUGUACAAGUCUCCUGGAAUGGAGCGUCAUAGAGGGUGAGAAUCCCGUCUUUGACACGGACUACCAGGGCUUUUGUGAUGUGCUCUCAAAGAGUCGAGUUGUUUGGGAAUGCAGCUCAAAAUGGGUGGUAAAUUCCAUCUAAAGCUAAAUAUUGGCGAGAGACCGAUAGCGAACAAGUACCGUGAGGGAAAGAUGAAAAGAACUUUGGAAAGAGAGUUAAACAGUACGUGAAAUUGCUGAAAGGGAAACGCUUGAAGUCAGUCGCGUUGUCCAGGGAUCAACCUUGCUUUUGCUUGGUGCACUUCCUGGUUGACGGGUCAGCAUCAAUUUUGACUGUUGGAAAAAGAUCAAGGGAAUGUGGCAUCUUUGGAUGUGUUAUAGCCCUUGGUUGCAUACAAUGGUUGGGAUUGAGGAACUCAGCACGCCGCAAGGCCGGGUUUUUAACCACGUACGUGCUUAGG